GACGAACGCUGGCGGCGUGCUUAACACAUGCAAGUCGAACGGAAAGGCCCUGCUUUUGUGGGGUGCUCGAGUGGCGAACGGGUGAGUAACACGUGAGUAACCUGCCCUUGACUUUGGGAUAACUUCAGGAAACUGGGGCUAAUACCGGAUAGGAGCUCCUGCUGCAUGGUGGGGGUUGGAAAGUUUCGGCGGUUGGGGAUGGACUCGCGGCUUAUCAGCUUGUUGGUGGGGUAGUGGCUUACCAAGGCUUUGACGGGUAACCGGCCUGAGAGGGUGACCGGCCACGUUGGGACUGAGAUACGGCCCAGACUCCUGCGGGGGGGAAGAGUGGGGAAUAUUGCACAAUGGGGGGACGCCUGGUGCAGAAACGCCGCGUGCGGGAUGAGGGCCUUCGGGUUGUAAACCGCUUUCGCCUGUGACGAAGCGUGAGUGACGGUAAUGGGUAAAGGAGCACCGGCUAACUACGU
rnacentral:rRNA from 1 species